rnacentral:rRNA from 1 species
UACGGAGGGGGCUAGCGUUGUUCGGAAUUACUGGGCGUAAAGCGCACGUAGGCGGCUUUGCAAGUUAGAGGUGAAAGCCCGGGGCUCAACCCCCGGAACUGCCUUUGAAACUAGAUUGCUAGAAUCUUGGAGAGGCGAGUGGAAUUCCGAGUGUAGAGGUGAAAUUCGUAGAUAUUCGGAAGAACACCAGUGGCGAAGGCGGCUAUCUGGACGGUUUCUGACGCUAAGACGCGAAAGCGUGGGGAGCAAACAGG